UACGGGGGAGGCAAGCGUUGUUCGGAUUUACUGGGCGUAAAGGGCGCGUAGGCGGCGCAACAAGUCACUUGUGAAAUCUCCGGGCUUAACCCGGAGCGGUCAAGUGAUACUGUCGUGCUAGAGUGCGGAAGGGGCUACUGGAAUUCUCGGUGUAGCGGUGAAAUGCGUAGAUAUCGAGAGGAACACCUGCGGCGAAGGCGGGUAGCUGGGCCGACACUGACGCUGAUGCGCGAAAGCCAGGGGAGCGAACGGG
rnacentral:rRNA from 1 species